ACCAUGACCACGGCUCGGCUCAGCCCAGCCACCCGUCCCGAGCGCUGAGGAUCAGCGGUGCCCCGAAAUUGCUUUCUUUUCAAAUCUGCAGGUGACAUUCCUAAUCCCCGCAUUCCUUUGCUUUCGCCGCCGCCGGACAGGACCACAAGCCGCCGAUGGAGGUGGUAUCGAUGCAGCCUCCUCUCCUCAGGGCUUCGAGACCAUUCGCGUCACCGUAAUAGUUCCUGGCAUCUGCAGCCACUACUGGUGAUGGGUUUGGUCGCUCCAUGGGAUCCUUUUUUUUCAAUGCUGUUCUGACGGAGAUGUCCGUGAUGGGCUCAAGCAGCCGCAGCUCCGACAUAAACCUGGGCAAAUCUGGGCGCAGGAACACGGUUUGUGAUACAUAACUUAUGUUUUGCUGUUGGAUCGACCGCCAAUUUCCCCAAUUCGUUGCAGACUAAAGUACUAAACUUGAUUUUCAGUCACCACUGGGAUGGAGAUUUAUUCUUAUACUAACAAUGAUGAUCACGCCUGUGAUUCGCUCAGCGUUACAACAAGCAAACUGGCGUACAAUAUGCAUCUCUAGGAUCACCACUGAAAAACAAUCCUCAUCAUUCUGGUCACCACAUUAUUAUGUUGGGAACUUAGAACUACCUUUCUCUGAACAUCAUGUACCAUAUAUAGCCAUGGGAAUUAUUGUAAAUAUGCAUCUCUAGGAUCUUUUGCCGCUCAUCUAGUAAAUUAAAUGUAUUACUAUGAGCUGUAUGGAUGACGAGCAAGGAAGCAAUAUGUUUUUCAUGAAACUUGAUUUAUAGUCAAAACAACAGUUAAUGUAUUUCAUGCUAUGCGCACAAUAAUCGAUUAAUCUUUUAGAGUUUCCAUGUUUCAAUUUUAUUCAGCAUUUGGCACUUGUUUAUUUCCGAAUUUCUGAUCAAAUAUAGGCUACCAUGUUUGUGGUGCCCAUUCAGCCUUGCACCUGGAUGUUACAAUAAUUGACCUGAUAGUCAAUUAGCCAUCUACUAUCCUAGAUUUGUGCUCUGAGUUGUAUGCUGCAAAUAACAAGUCAAUUGUGCUAUCUGAAAGAUAGAGUUUUGGGUGGGCUUCUUCAGCUAUCAGCAGAGAGGUCAGGGAGCAGGGAACUAGUUUUUGAUGGACCAACUCCCUCACCACGUACAUAUUUAUGUUAAUUGUUUUGUUAAUAAAUUGUGCACGAAACACCUUUACUUGACCUCAUAGAGGCAUCUACUACACCUACUGGCCACUCGCAGCUGCCAUUGCCGCUAUAGAGGAGCUAUUAUUUCUGAUCAUUCUGAUUGGCAAGCUAGAUCUGUCUUUCUUUUUACUGGGAAUUAUAUUGUAUGAUUGCCUACCUUUCCAGCGCAAUCUAGUUCGUUAUUUCAAAUUUUUGUCAAACUACAAAUGCAGGAAAAGGUACCUCAAUUCAGGUCAAGCCUCUCCUCUGCAUGUUUUACAAUCCAGUAACCCACUGAGCAUGAUCAAGAAGCUUUCGGCUCGAUAACAUCCGCAGGCCUUCAUCAUGAUAUCUGCAUGCCUAGUGUUUAUUGUUUUGUACUUCUAUUUUUGUUUACCCCAUGCACAAAUGCAUGGGUGUGUUAUGUAUUGAAGCUCGAUGCACAAAUUAAAUAAAACCUUAUCGUAAAUCACAGAUAAGGCGCAUUGACGCUCGUUCUAUU